UUGGCUACGCGAGCGCAUGAGUUGUUCAUGACCUGUGACUGCUGGGAGGCCCCCCGCCGUUGUGCGGCCGACUCUUGGUGCCUGUGUCCCUUCAAUUGUUGCCAACUCGGCUUGACUCGUUUGACGAGUGCUUGCAUGAUGCUACCAGAUGGAUGGAAGUUGCGUGUGAAAAAUGUUGCCUCCGUCGUGCCCGUCCACUGGGCGAGGUACGUCGGCUCAGCGGCGUCCACGGUGUUGCCUCAUGUGGUUAGCCAUUUGAGCUAUCAACAUCAAGGCCACCUCGUGUUCGCUAUUGGUCCCGGAUGUUGGCCUACGAGAGAAGGCUGUAGGUGCUUCGGCGCCACGUGCCUAGGGAAGAUUGUCCCAUUGGAAACAAUGACGGUCGACUCGGUGAAUGCCUUGUGCAUGAGCUGGUGUCGGCUUGUCGAAGAGGACGUGCUACCUGGUUGAUCCUGCCAGUAGUCAUAUGCUUGUCU
rnacentral:misc_RNA from 1 species